UUCCGGUUGAUCCUGCCGGACCCUACUGCUAUCGGGGUGGGGCUAAGACAUGCGAGUUGCUCUAGCUAUGUGAGGCAUACGGCUCAGUAACACGUGGCUAACCUACCCUCAGGACAGGGACAAACCCGGGAAACUGGGGCUAAUACCAGAUAGGUGAGGACGCCUGGAAUGGUUCCUCACACAAAGGAUUGGACGCCUGGGGAUGGGACUGCGUCCGAUCAGGUUGUUGGCGGGGUAACGGCCCACCAAGCCUAUAACCGGUACGGGCCCUGAGAGGGGGAGCCCGGAGAUGGAAACUGAGACAAGGUUCCAGGCCCUACGGGGUGCAGCAGGCGCGAAAUCUCCACAAUGCGCGACAGCGUGAUGGGGUUAUCCCGAGUGCCGUCCGAUGAGGAUGGCUUUUCAUCGGUGUAAGCAUCCGAUGGAAUAAAGGGGGGGCAAGAUCUGGUGUCAGCCGCCGCGGUAAUACCAGCCCCCUGAGUGGUAAGGACGAUUAUUUGGCCUAAAGCGUCCGUAGCCGGCUUAACGAGUCUUUUGUUAAAUCCAACGAUUCAAUCGUUGGGCCGCAAGAGAUACUGUUAUGCUAGAGGACGGGAGAGGUCGACGGUAGUCCAAGGGUAGGGGUGAAAUCCUAUAAUCCUUGGAGGACCACCAGUGGCGAAGGCGGUCGACUAGAACGUGCCUGACGGUGAGGGACGAAAGCUGGGGGAGCGAACCGGAUUAGAUACCCGGGUAGUCCCAGCUGUAAACGAUGCGGGCUAGGUGUUGGGGUAGCCACGAGCUGCCCCAGUGCCGCAGAGAAGUUGUUAAGCCCGCCGCCUGGGGAGUACGGUCGCAAGGCUGAAACUUAAAGGAAUUGGCGGGGGAGCACCACAAGGGGUGAAGGCUGCGGUUUAAUUGGAUUCAACGCCGGA
rnacentral:rRNA from 1 species